rnacentral:lncRNA from 1 species
UUCACCAAAUUACAAGAUUACCCCUGACGAGUUUUUAACCUAAUAGUUAUAUACUUGCCUAAGUGUUAGGAGGCAGGAGAGCUUUUGGCCACCAUUGUAUUCUUAUUUUCAGCAAAGAGUUUUAGGAGAGAAAAUCAUAGAGAGAUUUGUGAUUGGAACUCCAUUGAUUCAUCUAUUCUAUUCUAUGCAGUUUUUAUCUGUAUUUUGUGUCAUGAAUUGCUUAGCUAUGUCUGAGUAGUUUACUUGUUAGAUUCAGGGUUCAAAUAGGUUAGAGGGAUAUUAGCCCCAACUAUAGAUUUGCUGAGUUGUGAUAUUCAUUGAUUGAUUGUUCUUAAUGCUUGUUUUAGCCUUGCUAACUAGAACAUGAACCUAGGAAUUUGCAUGUGUCAAGCAUCCUUGAUCAUCAUGUCCUGAAUCUAAUAUGUCAUGCUAGGACUGGUAGAGAGAGCUAACCGCAGAUCUAGGAGACUAGUGACCAUUAUCAACCCGCGCCUAGGGCUUAGCUAGAAGCUAUCGAUCGAUAUUGUCUUCUGACAAUCGAUCGAUAUUGCGAAAGGUGUAUCGAUCGAUAUCCAUAUAGGAUCAUCGAUCGACACUUUCUUGUGAUCAAAAGACGACAGUUGAGAUCCAAGAUCUAGUUAGUUAACCAGUGAAACAUUGCCAUCACUGAUCACUGUGAUUAAGGAGUUCAGCUCUAAUAUAUCAUGCAUGCAACUGUUAGGCAUCUAUAGGAUUAUAAUCUCUAACACCUGAAUAGAAACCCUGCAUCUAAUAUCUUCCAAUAAAGUUACACCCCCAAUCAUCUUGUUAGUCGAGCAAUAGACUUGCUCAAUUAGGAUUGCUAUUUACUUUUAAACCAUAAAACAACAAACACCUAGAAUUAAUAACCUGACUAGAUUUAAUAGGUUCCCUAGCUCCUUGUGGAUUCGAUCCCUAAAUACUGCAACUGAACCUCUUAUUUGAGAGAAUAAUUCACUCCUUAGGGUAAUAUGAGUGGUAUCAAAUUUGGCGCCGUUGCCGGACAGCUUUGAUCGCCAUUAGAUUUAAUAUUAUUGAUUCUUAUUCUUUUCUCUACACCCAUUCUGACACAAAAUUUUUUUCUUGUCUUUUCAGGAGCAUGCCCAGCAGUACCAGAAGCAACAUGGACAAACACAUGCUAUUCUCAGAAGAUUCUGCUCACUUGGAACGCACGAUCCGCAAAGACCAACAUUCCACAUCGCUCGACGCAGCAGCUUUCACGUCGACUGAUUCUCGCACCCAACCAUCGACCGACACCGGACCUUUAUCGUCGACCGAUCUACAUCGUUCGACAUCGAUCGUUACUACACCGCGUACAUCGAUCGAUCAUUAGUCGCGAAACAUGGUUGCGAUUGUUAUUCUCAGACAGGACAAGAAUGGAAACCUGUAUGACCAGGAUGGUCAUCUGCGUAAUGCAACAGGUCAGAAACUAGACGCUCAGGGGAAUGUAAUCCCUGAUACUGAUGCUACAGGAGCUGCUCAAAUAGAAGAGGUUGCUCGACCAAGGGCACUGGCUGACUACAAUCGUCCUGAUGAGUACUAUGCCAACAGAUCAGCUAUUCGUCUUCCAGAGAGUCAGAAGCAGAAUUUCGAGCUGAAGCCUCAGUACUACACACUCGUGUCGCAGAUACCCUACUCUGGGUUACCGCACGAGCAUCCUAUGGACUAUCUAGAGAGGUUCGAGGAUCUUAUCGCUGCUAUUCGUAUGGAUGGAGUCCCCAAGGACUACCUAUUGUGCAAGCUCUUCAAGUAUUCUCUGACUGGAGAAGCGAUGCAUUGGCUUAAGCAGCUACCCACAGGAUCUCUAACAUCCUUGGCCGACAUCAAGAAUGCUUUCUUGCGAAACUUCUUUGAUGAGGCACGCGCUGAAGACUUGAGGAGCAAAAUCGCUACAUUCGCGCAGGAGACUGGAGAGUCUUUCAAAGAUGCGUGGAUCAGAUUCAAGUUCUUCCAGCAAGACUGUCCUCACCACAGAUAAAACGAAGUGCAAUUGCUGAGCACUUUCUUCAGAGGUAUCGCCUUGAGGUAUCAGAUGGCUCUUGAUACAACUAGCAAGGGAAACUUCAACACCAGGAAUCAGGUGGAGGCUGUGAGACUGAUAGAGAAUCAAGCAAACAACAGCAGCACCAAGAACACUGACUUUGAGAGGAAGAAGUCUGUUGCAUCCCUAGGGAAGGAGCUGAUGGACGAAGUUAGGGCAAAGUUAGAUGUGGUUCAUGAGCUUCUUAGGAAGCAGGUAUGCUCAGCUGAAGGAGAAGAAGCUGUAGACAUGGAAGGAGAAGAAGAUGUGAACUACAUUGGAGGUACUGGAUUUCAGAGGUCUGGAAACCAGGGUGGAAACAGAAACUUCUAUGGCAAUGGUCAGAGGAGUAACCAGAGUUCACAGUUCCAGAAACCUUUCAGCAACAACAGCAGAUGCUAUGGAAACUCAUUCUACCAUAAUCCACCACCACAGACUCAGGAAAGCAAGAUUGAAGCAAUGCUUGACAGAGUUCUGGAAGGACAUCAACAACUCACUGUGGAUUUCAAUGGGAAGAUAGAUUCCACCUACAACAGUCUGAACACAAGAAUUGAGAGCUUAGGGACUCAGGUGAGGAAGCUUGAAAUGCAAGUGGUGCAGACUGGAGACACUGUAAAGAGGCAAGAAGCCUUGGCUAGAGAGGCAAGAGUUGAGAAAGUAAAACACCACGUAAAUGCCAUCAUCGAUGAUGAUUUCUAGCAAGUGGUGAAGCAUGAGAAGCUUGGAGAAGGAGACUUCGAAGUUGAAAGCUCCAUUAGUUUUGGCAGAUCACAUUGGUGUCGACCGAUGUCAAUGGAUAUAAAUCGCUCGACAGACCAUGACGAAGAUCGAUCGACAUAUUACUCUAAACAUCGAUCGACGUCAUCUGCUGAAUCGACGGCGGAGUGUAGUGCAAUUCGAAUCAUGACUCAUGAGGAAUUCGAAGAAAACCAUCCUCACCCACCCUCCCCUUUCUACGUCAAAAUCGAUCGACUGCAUGAGCCAGCAGUCGACCGACAGAGAGAGACCGAUAUAGAUCAACCCCCUCACCUCCCAUCGAUCGACGGGCACCUCUCACCUACCGAGUGCGGUUACCAUCUAUUGAUAAUGACCGAAUCAACACACUUAGAUCACCACCUAAACCUUUAGCAAACCCACCAGAACCUACAACCAACCCUUCAGACACUACACCAAAGCCUAUGCAAGUUGAUGAGGCAACUGAAGGAAGAAGGUUAAGGAAAAGGAAGGAGAAGAUUCCGAAGAACCUUAAGAGGGAAGCUAAUGAGAAGGAGAUGGAUGGUUUCACUUAGAGAGUCCUCAGAAUCCUAGUGGAGAAACCUUUUGAUGAAGUUUAUUUCACACACCGGUUGUGGAUGUUCUUCAGAGAGACUAAGGAGACUGAGGAGGACAUUAGGAGAAUGUUUCAUCAUGUCUGGGAAAGGAUGAAACUAAGGAUCACAUUGAAGAAAAAGAGUGAUCCUGGGAAGUUUGUAAUACCAUGUGUGGUGAAGGGUAUUGAAUUUCCCCAUGCACUUUGUGACAAAGGAACAUCAGUCAGCAUACUACCUAAGGUUAUGGCAGACCAGCUGGGUCUGAAAAUAGAGCCCUCAUCAGAAUCUUUCACCUUCGUGGACCUUUCAGAAAGAAGUUCAGGAGGCAUCAUAAGAGACUUUGAGGUACAGAUUGGUAAUGCCCUUGUCCCAGUAGAUUUUCAUGUCCUGGACAUCAAGCUUAACUAGAACUCUUCACUUCUGCUUGGAAGAGCUUUCCUGGCUACAGUGGGAGCUGUAUGUGACAUGAACACCAACAGAUUGUGUCUGACACUGAUAGAUCCAGACGUCCACUAUGACCCAGUUCGAGUUGUGAGACAACAAGUCAACCUCGUGGAGCUUGGAAAUGAUCUUGGCUACAUUGCAGCAUGCCAUUGUGGAGCAGAGUACGAAACAUAGUACUCAGAAUCGAUCGACACUCACACUGCGUCAUCGUUCGAUUCCAAUGAGUCACCGACGACCGAUGAACACUAUCCCACAUCGCUCGACGUGAAGCAUCCGGUUGACCACUUCACGUUACCAGAUCUGUGUUAUCCAAACUUUGCCUUUCAACAACCCAACAAAAGAGGACGUGAUGACUAUGCCAUAGGCAGUUGGGCAGACAGUGGAUUCCAUGAAAGUUUUGAAGUAGAGACUAUAAUUCCUUCAUCCAAUGAGGAUCCUACAGAGGAGUAUGAUGAGGAUUACUGGAAAGAAAGAGCUAUAGAGAUUGCUAUGCAGGAUGACAGAUAUUCAAGCCAUUCCUUCAACAACACGUCUCCACCAUCGAUCAACAGAGUCUACUCAGCAUCGGUCGAUACCCAUCCUCAUCCAGCAAAACGAUCUUAUGCAUCGAUCGAUACCACACUUGGUAUAAUAAAUCACUCCUGAUUCAAUAAAUAUGCUAAAUAGACUCUAGAAUAUAAAAAAUAGUUAUUAAAACACUUAUAAACCAUGGGUGAAAGUGGGUCAAAUCCAUGGUCUAUCAACUCCCCGAGACUUACCCUUUUGCUUGUCCUCAAGCAAAACACAUAGGCAGUCUCUCUGAUUCUUUAUCUAUUAUAUUAUUCAGACUAUGAUUUGUGUUAUUGAUUCUAUGUAUGAGUAAUCAUCUUGUUAGGUUUAGGGAUUUCAUGAGCUUAAUGUCAAACUGAUAAUCAAUUAGGAUUGCUAAACACCUUCGACAGUCCUAGUCUCAGAAGCACACUAUACCAUAUCCUAGUCUAGCAACCAAGUUCAUCUAGUCAACAACUUAGCAGAUCAUGUCUGACAAUCCUCUCUACCAACCUCAAUUCUUACAUAAAUAAAGUGUAGGCUUUACCUUGCGGGUAUCGAUCAUAGGAUGCAACGAUGCUCAAACAAGUAUCUGGACCUGCAGGUAAACAAUAGUUCCUAUCCUCUCUCUCUACCAAUUCUCUCUCUCAAUCAAAGUCUGUUUAUAUUGCAAAAUCAUUGACCAAGAUUGGACAGACUUCCAUGAAUCAAGCUUUAAUGGUUUUAGCCACCAAAUCAUGUUCACUUCUUUUUGACCUAUAUCCUAGGAUUAUUUGUGAAGCAAGCCUUAAUGGUUGUAGCCACCAAGUCUUGUUCUAAUCCUUUACCUAUAGAAUUCUGAUGAAGCAAGCCUUAAUGGUUGUAGCCACCAAAUCCCCGGCAACGGCGCCAAAUUUGAUCUAACUCAAAUUACCCUAAGGAGUAAAUUACUCUCUCAAAUAAGAGGUUCAGUUGUAGUACUUUAGGAUCGAAUCCACAGGGAGCUAGGGAACCUAAUGAAUCUAAUAAGAAUUGUUAAGCUAGGUGGUUUAAUGAUUUAAAUGUAAAUUUGCAGUUGUUGAGCAAGUAAUUGCUCGAUUGAUUGGUUGAGGUUUUGGUGCUUAAAAGGAAAUAGUUAGACUUAGGUUUAUAUUCAGGAAAUUUGGAAUUAUAAUCCUAUAUAUUCCUAAUAAGUUGCAUUCAUGAUAUUGUAGAGCUCAACACUUAUAAACAAACCACUAGGCUAUCGGUUUCUAGGUUCGUCUAUUGACCAGUGUCGACCGAUGAUUCUAUAUGAAUAUCGAUCGAUGCACUAUUCAAAACAUCGACCGAUUAUUCUAUUUGAAUAUCGAUCGACGCUAUUGGUCAAGCGUUAAUGCGCGGGUUGAAUGUGCACACUGGAUCAGUUCUCGCCUUACUCUAGCAAGUCUUAGCUCAAUUAGAAUGGUUUCAGGAUGACAUGAAAGCUAUUGCUUAUAUCUAACAAUCCUAAGGCAAGUUCUAGGUAGCUAAUCUAGAAUCAGGCAUUAAUGACAAUCCUAAAGAUUAAUAUCACAACUUAGCAAUAUAUAGUUGGGGCUAAUCCCUCAUAACCUAUUUAAACCCUAAAAUCUAACAAGAGAACUACUCAGAUAUGGCCAAGUAAUUCAUGAUAGCAAUAAGGAAUGAAAACUGCAUUAGAAUAAUUGAUAGAUAUUAAUGGAGUUACAAUCACAAAUAACUUUGGAUCUUCUCUCCAAUUUACUAAAAAUCCUAGAAAACCUUUGCUGUAAAAUCAGUAAAACAAGAAAACACAUUUUGCCUCUAACAUGUUGGCAAAGCUUAUAUAAUUAGGUUAAAACUCAUCAGGGGUAAUCUUGUAAAUUGGCGAAGACUUGGGCUCUAAGUCGGCUGAGACCAAACGGGAUUUCUGCGCGCUUUGCUGUCGAUCGAUGUCAAGAUGUGAACAUCGAUCGAUUAUUCCUCUUCAAUGUCGACCGGUGGUCGAGCUCGAUGGUUAUCUCGGGUGCUUACUCCAAAUUUCUCCAAAACGCUCCAAAAUAAUCGCUUUCCUCCAAAUCACUCCUGAUCCUAUAAAUAUGCUAAAUAGACUCUAGAAUAUAAUAAAUAGUUAUUAAAACACUUAUAAACCAUGAGUGAAAGUUGGUCAAAUCCAUGGUCUAUCAACUCCCCGAGACUUACGCUUUUGCUUGUCCUCAAGCAAAACACAUAGGCAGUCUCUCUGAAAGAGGUUUGAAAACAGCAGGGACUCACAUAAUUUCAAACUUAGAAUCGACACCUUAGACAGUCCAAGUCUCAGAAGCACACUAUACCAUAUCCUAGUUUAGCAACCAAGUUCAUCUAGUCAACAACUUAGCAAAUCAUGUCUGAAAAUCCCUUCUACCAACCUCAAUUCUUACAUAAAUAAAGUGUAGGCUUUACCUUGGGUGUAUCGAUCACAGGAUGCAAGGAUGCUCAAACAAGUAUCUGGACCUGCAGGUAAACAAUAGUUUCUAUCCUCUCUCUCUACUAAUUCUCUCUCUCUGUCAAAGUCUGCUUAUAUUGAAAAAUCAUUGACCAAGAUUGGACAGGCUUCCAUGAAUCAAGCUUUAAUGGUUUUAGCCACCAAAUCAUGUUCACUUCUUUUUAACCUAUAUCCUAGGAUUAUUUGUGAAGCAAGCCUUAAUGGUUGUAGCCACUAAGUCUUGUUCUAAUCCUUUACCUAUAGAAUUCUGAUGAAGCAAGCAUUAAUGGUUGUAGCCACCAAGUCCCCGGCAACGGCGCCAAAUUUGAUAUCACUCAAAUUACCCUAAGGAGUGAAUUACUCUCUCAAAUAAGAGGUUCAAUUGUAGUACUUAGGGUUCGAAUACACAGGGAGCUAGAGAACCUAAUGAAUCUAAUCAGAAUUGUUAAGCUAGGUGGGUUAAUGAUUUAAAUGUAAAUUUGUAGUUGUUGAGCAAGUAAUUGUUCGAUUGAUUGGUUGAGGUUUUGGUGCUUAAAAGGAAAUAGUUAGGCUUAGGGUUCUUAUUCAGGAAAUUUGGAAUUAGAAUCCUAUAGAUGCCUAAUAAGUUGCAUUCAUGAUAUUGUAGAGCUCAACACUUAUAAACAAACCACUAGGCUCUCGCUUUCUAGGUUUGUCUAUUGACCAGUGUCGACCGAUGAUUCUAUAUGAAUAUCGAUCGAUGCACUAUUCGAAACGUCGACCGAUUAUUCUAUUUGAAUAUCGAUCGACGCUAUUGGUCAAGCGUUAAUGCGCGGUUUGAAUGUGCUCACUAAGCUCACUAGAUCAGCUCUCGCCUUACUCUAGCAAGUGUUAGCUCAAUUAGAAUGGUUUCAGGAUGACAUAAAAGCUAUCGCUUAUAUCUAACAAUCCUAAGGCAAGUUCUAGGUAGCUAAUCUAGAAUCAGGCAUUAAUGACAAUCCUAAAGAUUAGUAUCACAACUUAGAAAUAUAUAGUUGGGGAUAAUCCCUCAUAACCUAUUUAAACCCUAAAAUCUAACAAGAGAACUACUCAGACAUGACCAAGUAAUUCAUGACAGCAAUAAGGUAUGAAAACUGCAUUAGAAUAAAUGAUAGAUAUUAAUGGAGUUCCAAUCACAAAUAACUUUGAAUCUUCUCUCCAAUUUACUAAAAUUCCUAGAAAAGCUUUGAUGUAAAAUCAGUAAAACAAGAAAGUACAUUUUGCCUCUAACAUGUUGGCAAAGCUUAUAUAAUUAUGUUAAAACUCGUCAGGGGUAAUUUUGUAAAUUGCUGUAGACUUGUGCUCUAAGUCGGCUGAGACCAAACGGGCUUUCUGCGCGCUUCGCUGUUGAUCGAUGUCAAGAUGUGAACAUCGAUCGAUUAUUCCUCUUCAAUGUCGACCGAUGGUCGAGCUCGAUGGUUAUCUCGGGUGCUUACUCCAAAUUUCUCCAAAACGCUCCAAAAUCAUCAUUUUCCUCCAAAUCACUCCUGAUCUUAUAAAUAUGCUAAAUAGACUCUAGAAUAUAAUAAAUAGUUGUAAGAACACUUAUAAACCAUGGGUGAAAGUGGGUCAAGUCUAUGGUCUAUCAACUCCCCGAGACUUACCCUUUUGCUUGUCCUCAAGCAAAACACAUAGGCAGUCUCUCUGAAAGAGGUUUGAAAACAGUAGGGACUCACAUAAUUUCAAACUUAGUAUCAGCACCUUAGACAGUCCUAGUCUCAGAAGCACACUAUACCAUUUACUAGUCUAGCAACCAAGUUCAUCUAGUCAACAACCUAGCAAAUCAUGUCUGACAAUCUCCUCUACCAACCUCAAUUCUUACAUAAAUAAAGUGUAGGCUUUACCUUGGGUGUAUCGAUCACAGGAUGCAAGGAUGCUCAAACAAGUAUCUGGACCUGCAGGUAAGCAAUAGUUCAUAUCAUCUCUCUCUAUUAAUUCUUUCUCUCAGUCAAAGUCUGCUUAUAUUGCAAAAUCAUUGACCAUAAUUGGACAGGCUUCCAUGAAUCAAGCUUUAAUGGUUUUAGCCACCAAAUCCUGUUCACUUCUUUUUGACCUAUAUCCUAUGAUUAUUUGUGAAGCAAGCCUUAAUGGAUGUAGCCACCAAGUCAUGUUCUAAUCAUUUACCUAUAGAAUUCUUAUGAAACAAGCCUUAAUGGUUGUUGCCACCAAGUCCUGUAUGAAUUCCUUCCUAAUAAAUCUAUAAUAAUAAUAAUAUGUAUAUAUACAUAUAUAUAUAUUAAACUAUAUCUAAAAUUUUAUCCAUAAUUUCGAAAAUAGAGAGAGAGGGUGAUAAAUCUACACAAGGCUUUACCUUCCAAACUUGUUUGAAGAAUCCGAUCUCAUGUAUACCAAGCCCCAAAACAAGCAGAGUUGAGCUCAAUUAGGUUGGAGGUCAGCUUUGGUUCCUUCAAACACUCUAAGCAAGUGUAACAUAGUUGACAGGUUAAUCCACUUUGGUAUCUUUAGUACUAUCUGCAACAAGUAAGUCUAUAAUGGUGUGGUUAGAUAACAAGUAAAAUCAAUAAGUUCAUCAUCCCCUUCUUGACUUAAUAAAAACUUUUUGAAAACAUUUUAAUAAGACUCAUAAAUAAACUACUAUCAGUAAACCUCCCCCCAGACUUAAAACUACAUUUUUCCCAGUGUAAAUUCAGUCGGAGUUAUGGUGAGAACCAAAUCAUAAGGACUUAAUUUAACAAGUUAGAACGAUAUACCAAAAAGGGAUGGAUGUCGAUCGAUGUAAAGGUGUUGAUAUCAGUCGCGGUAGGUGACGUUCUGUCGAUCGAUGUCGGCAGUGUUUCGUCAGUCGAUUCUCACGGCAAUCGUCUACUCGGAUCUUUUUUUUUUAGGACCUGCAAUAAAAUAAAAACUAAUAGAAAUACUAGAUUAAUAAAAACCAGUUAAAUAUUACCUAAUAGUGGGUUGCCUCCCACUCAGCGCGUUGUUAUAGUCAUUUAGCUUGACUUUUGGAGGUGAUUUGGCUAGUAUUUUUGAAAGCUGGAACUUGCUGGAAAACAAGUAUCCAUCUCUUCUCUGCGCUUGUCGAACCAUGUACCAGUGAAGUCUCGCAUUGCUUCAUUUCCUCAGCGCCAUUUUUCCUGGAUUGUUACAGUUGUGUUUUCUAUCUUCUGCAAUCUAUCUCCAAGACUCUCGAGGUUUAACUGAUGUAUAAUAAGUGUGGCGUAAGUUUCAGCUGAUAUCUCCUCUCCAUGGUUGUGUGUAUCAGACAUCUCUGAUGUCACCGUUGGUACUAGCCUGCCUCGGUUUGUAGCGUCGUCGACCGAUGUUUGUUUCUGAAUGUCGGUCGAUUUGUUGUUGCGUCUGUCGAUCGAUGCAGAUGUUUCUGGUCGACGGGCGAUGUAAAUCUGAAUCUCCACUAAUUCCCUUUGUAUUGCUUUUAUCUUGGAAGUCAAAGAACUCAUGCUAAGGUUUAGUGGGAAAUAGAUGUCAUCACAUCUCCUAUCAAGCCUCUCUUUUGUAGUUUCCAGAGUUCGGUAGAUUUCUUCUACCAACUAAUCAAUCUCUGCUCAGGUGUGAAAAUAUGGUUGAGACUUCAUCGGGAAUGAGUUCUUUGGGUCGUCGUCGAUCGAUGUGGAGUAGUGCCUGUCGAUCGAUUCUGGUCGAUGUCUGUCGGCUGCAUGCUGAAUUUUAGCUAUGUCUUGCCUCAUCUUCCCCAUGCAUGUAGUCAACCAACUAAUGCUAUCAUUCAGUGGAUAGUAGACACCAUCAAGCUUCAUCUGGAAAUUACCUUCAUUCUUUUCUUGGGCUCCACAUACUUCAUAGAACAUCUCAUUGAUCUCGUCUUUGGUGUAGAUCUUUGGUACCAGCUUGGUCUGUGUGAAUGAGCUAGCAUGUUCUGGAAGACAUAUGUAGAUGUGCUCAUCUCUCGAAGCUCUUUCCAUUAGCUUUCUGAUAUCAUCCUUGGACACAUUGAUGACGUGUCCAUCCACAUCUCUUGCGCAUCCCUGAUCGUCUCUGUAGAAUCCAUACUCAUCCUUAUCUUCCCAGUAGAACUUUUUAGUUCCAAAAAGGUCAAUGGCUCUUCUGCCAAGUUUUGGACGUCUGUCGAUCGAUGGAGGGACAUCAACGACGAUUGACGGUCGAGUUGGAUGUUUAUAUUUCUACUUGAAGCGAUUGUCUAUGCCACCAUCUGUGUCACAUAACUCUCUCUGCUGAUCUUCUGGGACGGUGCGUUGUUGCAUGAAGAGAUUAUCUGCUCCAUUAGCCAUCUGGGUCCCUGAAAAUACCAAAUUCAUCCUGUGUUAAAUACUGGUUAUCAUAAUUAGGGUGUUCGCUUAGAGUGGAUGAUGGUUUCAGACGGAUGUCGAUCAGUGAUGGAGGUUUUUCGUCGAUCGAUGGUCAUCGAUCGAUGGGCGGUUUGCACUGUCGAUCGAUUCUUGGAUUUCUCUGUCGAUUGCUACACGUCUGUCUGCGUCAUCACGUCUUUUCAUGUUGGGAAGUUCUUCAUGUGUGAAACCCUUAUGCAUUUCAUCUGCUCCUGGCUCAGGAAUUGUUGUUUCUACUGCAUAGCUUUCGUGAUGGUGAUCAUCUGCCCCACUGCCAAUCGAGUAGUCUCCUUCUCGUAUAUGGUCGACUCCAGUGUCGAUUGAUGGGAAGUAGGCAAUGUCAGUCGAUACUCGGUUUCGGCUUGUCUGAUGAGAAUGAGUGUCAAUCGAUGUUGAGCAUGUUCUGUAGAUCGACGGUGCAUUCCUUUUCCAAGAGGAAUGGUGGAGAAGUCUAUCUUCCUCAUCGAGAACGGCUUUGUACUCUAUAGCUCGCUCCUUCUCAUAAUCUUCAUCAUACUCCUUCGUAUGCAUGGUGUGUCUGAUGUGUGCUACCAUAGUGGGGCUGUAGUAGUCGUUCUCCCAAUCUUCUGGACUACUGUUGACCGAUUCUUCUUUGGGUGUGUCGGUCGAUUUCUGGUGGGAACUGUCGAUUGAUGUUGCAGUGUGAGUUUCGAUCGACGCCGAGUAUUCUUUUUCGUACUCAGCUCCACAGUGGCAUGCUGCAAUGAGUUCUGGAUCAUUAAUUCUUCUGGAGGACGUUUGUGGCUUCUUGACUGGAAUAGGAUUGUAGUGGACAAGUGAAUAUAUGAGUGUCAGGCACAACUGGUUAGUUUGCAAGUUGCACAUUGCUCCUACUAUUGACAAGAAAUCACUCCCAAGUAGUAGAGAAGAGUUCCAGUUUAGCUUGAUAUCCAAGACAUGGAAAUCAACUGGAACUAGGGCAUUACCAAUCUGCACCUUUAGGUCUCUCACAACUCCUCCUGAGCUGCUCUGAGAACAAUCCACAAAAGUGAAUGAUUCCUUAGAAGGCUCCACCUGCAGACCCAGAUGGUCUGCCAUAACCCUAGGUAGGAUGUUGACUGAUGCUCAUGUGUUGCAUAGAGCAUGUGGGAACUCAAUACCCUUCACCGUACAUGGUAUUGCAAAUUGCCCAGGAUCACUCUUCUUCGGCAGUGUAAUCCUCUUCUUCAUCUUUUCUCUAGCUUCACAGAACAUUCUCCUAAUGUCCUCUUCGGUCUCUCUGGUUUCUCUGAAGAACAUCCACAAUCUGUGGGUUAAAUAAGCCUCCUCGAAUGGCUUUUCUAGAUGAAUCCUAAAGACUAUCUUUUGGAUACUUUCUCUUUCCUUUUCAUUAGCCCCCCUCUUCAGAUGUUACGCCACUUUUUCAUUUCUUUUCCUCAGGGUUCUUCCCAUAGGAACCCUAUCAAUUUCCAUCGGAUCUGCUGCAUCAUCUGAAGGUGUCCUGACGGCCUAUGGUGGGUUAUCUGAAGGUUUGGGUUGUGGCCUGAGUGCAUUGAGACGUGCAACGUCUAUCUUUGGCAUCUGCACUCAGUAUGUAAGAGGUGAUUGUCUAUCGAUGGGCGCUGGAGGUUGUCGAUCGAUGGCGGCCUUUCUCUGUCGAUCGAUGACGGGUUCAGAAUGUCGAUCGAUCUUGACGUAAACAGGGCUGGGCGGAUGUGGGUGUUUUGCUGCGAACUCCUCGUGAGUAAUGAUCCUCACGGCAUUGCAAGAUGCGGUCGACUCUGUAGGUGUCGUCGAUCGAUGCUCUGGAGAGCCUGUCGAUCGAUUUUGAUUGAAGUUUGUCGAUUGAUGUUUAAAGUUCGGCAUCGAUCGACACCAAUGCGAUCCGCCGAAACUCAUCAAGCUUUCUACUUCGAAAUCUCCUUCUUGCAGCUUCUCCUACUUCACCACUUGCCAGAAAUCAUCAUCUAUGAUGGCAUUCACGUGGUGCUUCAUCACAUCAUCCCUUGCCCUUCUUGUUAAGGCUUCUUGCCUCUUAACAGCUUCUCCUGUAUGAACAACCUUCAUCUCCAGAUUCUUCACAUGAGUGCUCAAAGUUUCAUAGUUUGUGUUCAGGUUGGUGUAGACAGAAUCAAUCUUCCCAUUGAAGUCCACCGUCAUGCGCUGCUGUCCCUCAAGAACUCUGUCAAGGAUCUCUUCAAUCGUGCUCUCUUGAGUAGGUGGUGGUAGCUUCUGGUAGUAGGAGUUUCCAAAACCCCUAUUGUUGCUGUUGUAGUUGUUGUUGUAGGGUUUCUGGUGCUGCGAACUUUGGUUAAAAUUACCCAUAUUUCAAUAGGAAUUUCUGUUUCCACCCUGGUUUCCAGAACCUUGGAAUCCAGUUCCACCAAUGAAGUUCACAUCCUCUUCUACCUCUGCUCUGCCCUCUGUUUCUACAGCCUCUGCAUCCUCAACCAAGCAGACCUACUUCCUGAGAAGCCUGGAACACUGUCCAGUUUUGCCUUCACUUCAUCCAUCUGGUCAUUCCCAAGAAUGGCUGAAAAUCUCUUCAUCUCAAAGUCAGUGUUCUUGGUGCUGCUGUUGGAUGCUAAGUUCUCAAUAACUUUCACUGCCUCCUCUGGAUUCCUGGUGUUGAAGUUCCCAUUGCUGGAAGCAUCAUGAGCCAUCUUAUACUGCACCGCGAUGCCUUUGUAGAAAGUACUGAGCAGUUGUACUUCAUUGAAUCCAUGGUGUGGACAGUCUCUCUAAUAAGACUUGAAUCUAAUCCAGGAGCUUCUGAAUGAUUAUGCAGGCUCCUGAGUGAAUGUAGCAAUCUUGCUCCUCAAGUUUUCAGCACGCGCCUCAUCAAAGAAGUUGCAUAAGAAUGCAUUCUUAAUGUCACUCCAGGAUGUGAGAGAUCCUGGUGGUAACUGCUUAAGCCAAUGCGAAGUAUCUCCAGCAAGUGAGUACUUGAAGAGCUUGCAUAGGAGGUAGUCUUCAGAGACUCCCUCGACCUUAAUAGCAGAUAUAAAAUCCUCGAACCUCUCCAGAUGGUCCAUAGGAUGCUCGUGAGAUAACCCAUAGUAGGGUGUCUGUCCCACGAGUGUGUAGUACUGCGGCUUCAACUCGAAAUUCCCCCUCUUAAUAGUUGGAAGGCGAAUGGCUGAUCUGUUGGUGUAGAACUGAUAUGGACGGUUGUAGUCAGCCAACGUUUUGUGUCGAGCAGCCUCAUCUACAGUUAGAGUAGUGCAUGUAGUAUCAGUAUCAGGCUCAGGGAUUGCAGCCCCCUGAGCGUCUAUCCUCUGACCUGUUGCAUUACGCAGAUGACCCUCCUGGUCAUACAGGUCUCCCUUAUCAUCACGUACAAGAAUCAAGGUCCCAACCAUGUCUCGCGGCUCAGUAUCGAUCGAUGUUCGGACUAAAGUGUCGAUCGAUAUCUGAUGGAAGGUGUCGGUCGACGGAAGAGUGUCUUCGGUCGACGGUGGAAAGCGAGUGUGGGUUGACAAGAUUGGUGUCGGGGUCGACGGUGGUUGACGAGAAUUGAUUGAUGAACUUGUGUUGUUUUGCACGGCAACGGCGCCAAAUUUGAUCUCACUCAAUCAAAUUACUCUAAAGAGUGAAUUACUCUCUCAAAUAAGAGGUUCAGUUGUAGUACUUAGGGAUCGAAUCCAUAGGGAGCUAAGGAACCUAAUGAAUCUAAUCAGAAUUGUUAAGCUAGGUGGUUUAAUGAUUUAAAUGUAAAUUUGCAGUUGUUGAGCAAGUAAUUGCUCGAUUGAUUGGUUGAGGUUUUGGUGCUUGAUAUACCAUUGAUUUUACCCACUUUCAGCCAUGGUAUAUAAGUGUUUUAAGAUGUAAUUAUUAUAUUUUGGAUUGUUUUUAGAGUAUUUACCGGUUCAGGUACAAUCUGGAGAAAUAUGGUGAUUUUGGAGCCAUUUGAGUGAAGAGCUGCACAGACGCGUCAGAUGUUGAGCUAUGGAUGGAGACCUUGCCACCAUUAGAUUGUGCCCAUCUUUUGAUAAAAAAUAUAUCUUUGAGUAGGAUUUCCAGUGCCGUUGGUUUGAGGUAAAUCUGCAUCCUGUAGCAGAAGUUAUGCAUGUUUUAAUAAAGAGUGGUCAGUCUGCCUCGCGUGAGGAAGCUGUCGAGGAGAUGCAUGACUGUAGAUCGAUGAAACAGUAUUGCCAUCGAUCGACAGUGAUGCCAGAACGUGGGCCAAUCAUAUUUCAAGACCGAUUGACGCCCAUAAGCCACACAAAGUUACCAAAAUACCCAUGGACGACCACAAACCCUAUUUAUGUAUUUCUAAGCUAUUGUUGACGGCAACACGCUUUCUAUUAUCCUAUUCUAUUGUUUUCUCUUAGGUUUGGAGAGAAGAUCAAUUCUCCUUCAGAGAUUAAUUGGAACUCCAUUGGUUUUAUCAUUGAUUUCUUUAUCUAUUAUAUUAUUCAGACUAUGAUUUGUGUUAUUGAUUCUAUGUAUGAGUAAUCAUCUUGUUAGGUUUAGGGAUUUCAUGAGCUUAAUGUCAAACUGAUAAUCAAUUAGGAUUGCUAGAUUAUUUAUAGAUCUCUACACCAGGGUGAUUUGUAAUACUAGGAUCUGGAAUAGUUAGAAUAGCACGACAGUGUGACUAAUUGUUUGAACCUAGAAUCAUAGGAUAGUUGAGAGGCACGAAAGUGCAAUCAAUUAACGGAACCCGAACUCUGCUGGAUUAGAUACCUAGGCGCAUACGAGAGUUGGUCUAUGAAUCUAGUUGAACUUAAACGAUUAGGUCUUUAAUGCUUGUCUGAGGAAGCAUCGAUCGACGCUCAGGUCAUAGCAUUGAUCAACGCUUGCUCCAAGUCAAUAAGCGACAGCUGAGACUGGACUUAGACAUCUGAUUAGCAAUUGCAUGCAAAAUCUGGAUUGCUUACUUAUUAAAAUCGAGUUCUAGAAUUGAAUCUAUAAACCACUGGCAUCCUUGAAUUUUAGUCUUGAAUCUCUUGAUUGAUAAAUCCCUAGGUCUAGCUAUUUCUCCUAAUUGUUUUAAACCUCAAUCAACCAAUCGAACAACUAAUUUGUUCACCUUGCUUUCAUUCAUUUACUACUUUAUAAACUGUUUGUCUAGCUUAAUCUUGAUUUCUAUAGUCUAUUGUGUGCCCUAGCUCUAUGUGGAUUCGAUCCCUAAGUACUACAAUUGAACCUCUUAUUUGAGAGAGUAAAAUCACUCCUUAGGGUAAUUUGAGUGAUAUCAAAUUUGGCGCCGUUGCCGGGGAGAAAGGAUUCGCCAAUAGACUUGAUUAAUAGGUUUAGUCUAGGUUUUAUUUACUGUCAUAGUUACUUACAUAAAAAAAUUUCUUGUCUUUCAGGUACAUGCCUAUCAGUACCAGGAGGAGCAAGGAGGAAUUACUUUUCUUCUCAGACCAAACACAUUUGGAAUGCUCGACUCGCAAAGAGAAACGCACAUCAUCGAUCGACACUACUCUACUACGUCGAUCGGUAUUACCUCUACUACGUCAAUCGACACCACCUCUAUUAUGUCGAUCGACACUUGUGACAGAGCAACGAUCCACAGUUCAACUCGAACAUCGAUCGACACCAAUCCGCGAGCAGACAUAGUCGUGACACUUGUGCUAUAGAGGGAUGAGUAUGGAGACCUGCAUGACCCUGGAGGUCAUCUGUGUAAUGCAGCAGGUCAGAAGAUAGAUGGACAAGGGACUGAAAUCCUUGAGCCAUCUGCUGUCACCGAGGAUGCUAAAGUUUCUCUUCAGAAAACACUAGCAGAUUUGAUAUGGCCUAGUCAGUCCUAUACCAACAGGUCUGCAAUUCGACCUCUAGAAAUCCAGGGAUUUCAAAUACAUCCCACACACUUCUCUCAUGUGGGUCAACACCCUUAUCGUGUUCUUCCUGAUGAAAAUCCAUCGGAUCAUAUUGAGACACUCAACGACUUUGUGUCUGGCAUCCAUGAGGAUGAAGCAACCAUAGACUACAUCAUCUGCAAGUUGUUCAAAUAUUCUCUCUCUGAGAAUGCGAAAAAGUGUCUGAGAUGCCUACCACCAGGAUCUCUCACUACAUGGAAUGAUGUCAGGACUACGUUUAUGAUUGAAUUUUUAGAUGAUGCAAGGGCUGAAGAGAUGAGAGAUAAAAUUUUGACAUUCUCUCAGGGAUCUACAGAAGCUUACAAAAGCUCUUGGGAGAGGUUUAAGAGAUACCAAAGGGACUGUCCACAUCAUGGUUUUACGGAGAUUCAGCUGUUGAAAAAGUUCUGCAAAGAUAUUGAUGUGCGAUAUAAUAUGAUGCUGGAUGCUGCAAGCGAAUGAAACUUCGAGACAAUGACCCUAGAGGAAGCUAAGAGACUGAUUGAAAACUUGAUGUCUAGCAACAGUUCCAAAAAUCUGGAUAUGCACAGGAUAAAAUCAGCUGCAAUGGAUAGUGACAAGAUCGUUGAGGCUGAAAUUGGUUAUGUACAUGAAGUUUCAUUGGUGGAACAAGAUGUAGAAAAGGAUGAGAAUCAGGACCAAAUUCAGAUGAUGGAAAAGAUCCUAAAAAUUCAGCAAAAGAUGAGUGCAUACUUAAAUCUGAGGUUAGAUGUUCUCUACAAAGAGCUGAAUGGAAAAUUUGAAACCUUAGAUGUCCAUGUCAUGAUGCUAGAUGCCCAGGUUUCUCAUACUGCAGAAGCUGUGAAAAAGCAAGAAGCUCUGGUCAAAGGGAAAGCUGUGGAAAGUGAGAAGCACGAGGUUAAUGCCAGCUCAGAUGAUGACCUUGGGGAAGUGCUCGAGCAGGAGAAGCUGGAAGAAGAUGCUUUCCUAGUCGAAAGCUCCAUGUCCAUAGGCAGCUCGUACUGGUGUCGACUGACACCAACAACUGAGCAUCGAUCGACAUCAACAGCUGAGCACCGAUCAACAUCAUCAGCCGAGCAUCGAUCGACACCACUUUUGGGAUCAGACAAAACUGUUCGAAUUCAGAGCCACUCAGAUUUUGCUGCUUGACACCCGCAUCCUCCCACCCUAGCUCGAGUUAAAUCAGAUAACGUCAAUCGGCAACAACACGAAAAAAUCGAUCGACAACAACAUGGAAGCGUCGAUCGACAACAGGAGAAGAGCAGCGAUCGACAACCAUCAAUGCCAUACCGAGUACGUUAACCAGAUCUUGAUGCACACCGCUUGAAGGCAACUCGAAAUCUAUCUCAGACAUCAGUUUGUUUGAAGACAACAGAGAAGAUAAGUCAGCAAUCUGCAGAAGCACCAGAGCAAGAGCAAUCAGCCCUAGCUGAAACCUCUUUCCUUGAGAGUGUCGAUCGACGACAUCUACCAGGUAUCGGUCGACACCUAAUAUCACUCAAAUUACCCUAAGGAGUGAUUUUACUCUCUCAAAUAAGAGGUUCAAUUGUAGUACUUAGGGAUCGAAUCCACAGAGAGCCAGGGCACACAAUAGACUAUAGAAAUCAAGAUUAAGCUAGGCAAACAGUUUAUAAAGCAGUAAAUGAAUGAAAGCAAGGUGAACAAAUUAGUUGUUCGAUUGGUUGAUUGAGGUUGUAAACAAUUAGGAGAUAUAGCUAGACCUAGGGAUUUAUCAAUCAAGAGAUUCAAAACUACAAUUCAAGGAUGCUAAUGGUUUAUAUAUUCAAUUCUAGAACUCGAUUUUAAUAAGUAAGCAAUCCAGCUUUCGCAUGCAAUUGCUAAUCAGAUGUCUAAGUCCAGUCUCAGCUGUCGCUUAUUGACUUGGAGCAAGCGUCGAUCGAUGCUAUGGCCUGAGCGUCGAUCGAUGCUUCCUCAGACAAGCAUUAACAACCUAAUCGAUUAAGUUCAACUAGAUUCCUAGACCAACUCUCGUAUGCGCCUAGGUAUCUAAUCCAGCAGAGUUCGGGUUCCGUUAAUUAAUUGCACUUUCGUGCCUCUCAACUAUCCUAUGAUUCUAGGUUCAAACAAUUAGUCACACUGUCGUGCUAUUCUAACUAUUCCAGAUCCUAGUAUUACAAAUCACCCUAGUGUAGAGAUCAAUAGAUAAUCAAGCAAUCCUAAUUGAUUAUCAGUUUGACAUUAAGCUCAUGAAAUCCCUAAACCUAACAAGAUGAUUACUCAGACAUAGAAUCAAUAACACAAAUCAUAGUCUGAAUAAUAUAAUAGUUAAAGAAAUCAAUGAUAAGACCAAUGGAGUUUCAAUCAAUCUCUGAAGGAGAAUUAAUCUUCUCUCCAAACCUAAGAGAAAACAAUAGAAUAGGAUAAUAGAAAGCUUGUUGCCGUCAACAAUGGCUUAGAAAUACAUAAAUAGUGUUUCUGGUCAUCCAUGGUUAUUUUGGUAACUUUGUGUGGCUUAUGGGCUUCAAUCGGUCUUGAAAUAUGCUUGUCCCACGUUCUGGCUUCACUGUCGAUCGAUGGCAAUGCUGUUUCAUCGAUCGACAGUCAUGCAUCUCCUCGACAGCUUUCUCUCGCGAGGAAGACUGACCACUCUUCAGUAAAACGGGCAUAUCUUCUGCUACAGGAUUUUGAUUGACCUCAAACCGGCGGCAUUGGAAAGCUAACUCAAAGGUAUAUCUUGUGUCGAAAGAAUUUCUAAAUCUAACGGUGGGAAGGUCCCCAUACAUAGCUAAACAUCUUACGCGUAUGUGCAGCUCUGCACUCAAAAGGUUCCAAAAUCACCAUAUUUCUCCGGAACGUACCUGAACCUGUAAAUACUCUAAAAAGACUCCAAAACAUAACAAUUACAUCUUAAAACACUUAUAUACCAUGGCUGAAGUGGGUAAAAUCCAUGAUAUAUCAACUCCCCCAGACUUACCCUUUUGCUUGUCCUCAAGCAAAACAGACGAGUCUCUCUGAAAGAGGUUUGAAAACAGCAUGGACUCACAUGAUUUAAAACUUAGAAUCAUCACCUCUGUAAUAUUGCAAUCCACAUCUAAGAAUUCAUAAUCACAAAAGCACAUUAUACCAUAUCCUAGCUUAGCUACCAAAUUCACCUAGCCAACAACUUAGCAAAUCAUGUCUGACAUUCCCUUCUACCAACCUCAUUUCUUAACAUAAAUAAAGUGCAGGCUUUACCUUGGGAGUAUCGAUCACAUGAUGCAAGGAUUUUCAAACAAGUAUCUGGAUCUACAGGUAAAACUUAGUUCAUAUCUUUUCUCUCUACUAAUUUCUCUCUUUAGUCAAAGUCUGCUUCCAUUGCAGGAUCAUUGACCAAGAUUGGAUAGGCUUCCAUGAAUCAAGCCUUAAUGGUGGUUGCCACCAAGUUCUGAUCAUUUCUUUUUGAACUGUAUCAAGGAAUUCAUGUGAAUCGAACCUUGAUGAUUGCCGCCACCAAGUCCCGUUCGAAUUCUUUUUGUUGGAAUCCUUAUGAAGGAAGCCUUAAUGGUUGUAGAGAGAGAAAAUGUGAUAAAUCUACACAAGGCUUUACCUUCCAGACCUGUUUGAAGAAUCCGAUCCCAUCUAUACCAAGCCUCAAGACAAGCAGUUGUGUCAAGUUUAGUGUUGGAGGUCAGCUUUGGUUCCUUCAAACAAUCUCAGCAAGUGUGAAUAGCUGAUAGGUUGAUCCACUUUAGUAUCUUUAGUACAAUCUGCAAUCAGUAAGUCUAUAAUGGUCUAAAGAGUGGUUAGAUAACAAGCAAAAAUCUAAUAAGUUCAUUAUCCCCUUCUUGACUCAAUAAAACACUUUUGAAAACAUUUUGAUAAGACUCAUGAACACACUAAUAUCAGUAAACAUCCCCAAGACUUAAAUUACAUUGUCCCCAGUGUAUAUCUAGUCGGAGUUAUGGUGAGAAAUAAUCAUAAGUACAUAAUUUAACAAGUAAGAACGAUGACCUGCUCGCUGAUGUCAGUGUCGAUCGACACAAUGAAGUGACAAUCCAUCGUUGGAUCUGAAGUGAUGUCGAUCGAUGUCGAGCUGGUCUCAUCGGCCGAUGUACUGAGCAAUCGUCUACUCGGAUCUGUUUUUUUUUUUAAUAUCUAACUCAAACACAAUAUUAGUUGAACCUCCCCCAGACUUAAACAAUACUAUCUCCAGUGUUAUACAGUCUAAGAUUGGUGGGGAAAUAAAUCAUAAGGACAAUAUUUAACAAGGAAAAACGGUAUACCUGACUUUGAUGUGAGUGUCGACCAAUACAGUUAAGUGGCGAUCAAUACUCUUGAAGCUCUGUCGAUCGACACAGUUAAGUGGUGAUCGACUGAUACUAGUGAUGCUCUGUCGAUCGAUGCUGCGCAGCCAUCGUCGAUCAUCGUGCAAACUCAUCUUCCUCGGAUCUUUUCCUUUUACCUAACAUAAAUAAAACACUAAAAGUCAGUAAUAGAUAACUAAUAAAACCAAUCCAAAAUUUUUUUUUCGAUGAACACUGACUGCUACUAAGCUCACUAGAUCAGCUCUCGCCUUACUCUAGCAAGUCUUAGCUCAAUUAGAAUGGUUUCAGGAUGAGAUGAAAGCUAUCGCUUAUAUCUAACAAUCCUAGGGCAAGUUCUAAGUAGCUAAUAUAGAAUCAGGCAUAAAUGACAAUCCUAAAGUUUAAUAUCACAACUUAGCAAUCUAUAGUUGGGGCUAAUCCCUCAUAACCUAUUUAAACCCUAAAAUCUAACAAGAGAACUACUCAGACAUGGCCAAGUAAUUCAUGACAGCAAUAAGGUAUGAAAACUGCAUUAGAAUAAUUGAUAUAUAUUAAUGGAGUUCCAAUCACAAAUAACUUUGGAUCUUCUCUCCAAUCUACUAAAAAUCCUAGAAAACCUUUGCUGUAAAAUCAGUAAAACAAAAAAGUACACUUUGCCUCUAACAUGUUGGCAAAGCUUAUAUAAUUAGGUUAGAACUCGUUUGGGGUAAUCUUGUAAAUUGGUGAAGACUUGGGCUCUAAGUCAGCUGAGACCAAACGAGUUUUCUGUGCGCUUCGCUGUCGAUCGAUGUCAAGAUAUGAACAUCGAUCGAUUAUUCCUCUUCAAUGUCGAUCGAUGGUCGAGCUCGAUGGUCAUCUCGGGUGCUUACUCCAAAUAUCUCCAAAACGCUCCAAAAUCAUCACUUCCCUCCAAAUCACUCAUGAUCCUAUAAAUAUGCUAAAUAGAAUCUAGAAUAUAAAAAAUAGUUAUUAAAACACUUAUAAACCAUGGAUGAAAGUGGGUCAAAUCCAUGGUCUAUCACGGAGCCCACAGACGACACAUGGCC